AAGUCGUAACAAGGUUUCCGUAGGUGAACCUGCGGAAGGAUCAUUAUCGUACAAUGGAGGUGCUGGGGUUGUCGCUGACCUUUGAAAGGGUCGUGCACGCCUCGGUGCUUUCACACAUAAUCCAUCUCACCCCUUUUGUGCAUCACCGCGUGGGGGCCCCUUUUAGCUAGUUCUGAAGGGGGCUUUCACGUUUUUACAAACACACCCUUUUAAUGCAAUAUGUAGAAUGUCUUACUUUUUGCGAUGACACGCAAUCAAUACAACUUUCAACAACGGAUCUCUUGGCUCUCGCAUCGAUGAAGAACGCAGCGAAAUGCGAUACGUAAUGUGAAUUGCAGAAUUCAGUGAAUCAUCGAAUCUUUGAACGCACCUUGCGCCCUUUGGCAUUCCGAAGGGCACACCCGUUUGAGUGUCGUGACAUCCUCAAACCUUCUUGGUUUCUUGACUGAGAAGGCUUUGGACUUUGGAGGCUUUUGCUGGACCUUCCCUUGUUGAAGCCAGCUCCUCUUAAAUGAAUUAGUGGGGUCUGCUUUGCUGAUCCUUGACGUGAUAAGAUGCUUCUACGUCUUGGGUUUUGCACUGUUUGCUCUAGAUCCUGCUUCUAACCGUCUCAUAGAAGACAAAUCGUCGCAAUCAGC
rnacentral:rRNA from 1 species